rnacentral:rRNA from 1 species
AACGAACGCUGGCGGCAUGCCUAACACAUGCAAGUCGAACGAGACCUUCGGGUCUAGUGGCGCACGGGUGUGUAACGCGUGGGAACCUGCCCUUAGGUUCGGAAUAACUCUCCGAAAGGGGUGCUAAUACCGGAUAAUGUCUUCGGACCAAAGAUUUAUCGCCUUUGGAUGGGCCCGCGUUGGAUUAGCUAGUUGGUAGGGUAAAAGCCUAACAAGGCGACGAUACGUAGCUGGUCUGAGAGGAUGCUCAGCCACACUGGGACGGAGACACGGUCCAGACCCCUGGGGGAGGCAGCAGGCCGGAAUCUUCCGGAAUGGGCGCAAGGGUGACUUAGCAACACCGGGUGAGUGAUGAAGGCCUCCGGGCCGUAAAGCUCUUUUGUUGGUAAAGAAUAGAAGGCUUUUUAACCCGGGAUGUUAUGACGGUACCCGAAGAAAAAGCCACGGCUAACUUCGUG